GACGAAGGAUCCAAGCGUUAUCCGGAUUCAUUGGGUUUAAAGGGUGCGUAGGCGGGUUAAUAAGUCAGUGGUGAAAUCCUAUCGCUUAACGAUGGAACUGCCAUUGAUACUGUUAGCCUAGAGUACAGAUGAUGUUGGCGGAAUAUGACAUGUAGCGGUGAAAUGCUUAGAUAUGACAUAGAACACCAAUUGCGAAGGCAGCUGGCUACGCAUAUAUUGACACUGAGGCACGAAAGCGUGGGGAUCAAACAGG
rnacentral:rRNA from 1 species